UAAACCCUAAUACUACCCAAGCUAUUAAUAGCCUAUUGUAAGAAGAAGAAAAAAAAAAACUCCCGUGCGCAAUUGUUGACCCUCAAACCCUCCUUCCUCCCUCGAUUGUUUUCUUGCCGUCAUCAUCUCCAAGCGUAUUCCUUCAUCUCCGAAAUUGGACUCGGGGCUCAGGAAGGACGAUCCAUCGGACAGGAAGUAUAAAAACUACGGUUGAGGUACUGCUGGGGACCACGGAAAUGAGUAGUGGUGAGGAUUUCACUAUUACCAAGUUCACCUAAGUUAAUGUUAAGUUGUAACAAGUUUAAAUAAAGAUUCUUGAUUAAGUUUCGUACUUUUAUUAAGGAAUUGAGAAGGAUGAUUAUGUGAAUUUUGGAGUUUAAAUAGCUUAUGAUUGAUAGUUGCCUUGUAAUUCCCAAGAGGGAGUUACGGCGGGUAAUGUCCCGACCGAAUUAGGUUAAUUCCGCUGCUAAUUAUGAUUAAAUAAUUGAAUUAGAGGUCGGGGUGUUACACAUUCUCAAUUGAUUCUUCGAAUUUUUAGUGAUUUCGUGGCUGAACUGGUCUAAGGUUGCGAGAUUCAGUUUUAGUGGUUGAACUGGAGGACUAGGUUUGUUGGUUGUUUGCGGUCGAAAUACAUUUGUAGAAAAUGUACUCGGAUCUUGAAAAAUGAAAAAAUUCGAAC